rnacentral:misc_RNA from 1 species
GUUCGAGCUACACUAUUUCUUCUGGCCAAUGAAGACAGGUAGAAAACUAAAACAAAAUUGUACAGGUAAUACAAACUUCAGUUUGGCAUGGAAGAAAGUGAAUAAAUACAGCUACGUUGAAUGCCACUUCAGUCAAAGUGUUAGAAAAUAACAAAGUAUGAACCACAGUGAAAGAUAAAAAUAAUUACAUAAGACAGAACACAGCCACUUGCAGCAAUUUAUCACCUUUUUUUUUAUCAGUUACUUCAACUUAUAUACAAGUCAAUAGGGAACUGUGCAAAUAUGAAACAAAGAGAAAACUUGUUUGCCAUUUUGUUGUUGAAGGUGAUAAUGGCAAUCUACCUACUAUGCUACCUGGUUCCUAUAUGCAUUCUGUUUGAAUAGGCCCUUAAAGAAAUUGUUGAAAAGAUACAUCAAUUCCUAGUUAACAACAUGGAUGCAAAAAUAAAUAAAUAAAUAAUACAAUCACAUUUGUAAUUAAUGGAUGGAU